rnacentral:rRNA from 1 species
UACAUGGGGUGCAAACGUUGCUCGGAAUUACUGGGCGUAAAGCGCACGUAGGCGGGUUUGUAAGUAGAGGGUGAAAUCCCCGGGCUCGACCCGGGAACUGCCUUCUAGGCUGCAAGCCUGGAGGUCAGGAGAGGCGAGUGGAAUACCGAGUGUAGAGGUGAAAUUCGUAGAUAUUCGGUGGAACACCAGUGGCGAAGGCGACUCGCUGGACUGAUACUGACGCUGAGGUGCGAAAGCGUGGGGAGCAAACAGG